rnacentral:rRNA from 1 species
AUUGAACGCUGGCGGCAGGCCUAACACAUGCAAGUCGAGCGGAUGAAGGGAGCUUGCUCCUGGAUUCAGCGGCGGACGGGUGAGUAAUGCCUAGGAAUCUGCCUGGUAGUGGGGGAUAACGUCCGGAAACGGGCGCUAAUACCGCAUACGUCCUGAGGGAGCAAGUGGGGGGUCUUCGGACCUCACGCUAUCAGAUGAGCCUAGGUCGGAUUAGCUAGUUGGUGGGGUAAAGGCCUACCAAGGCGACGAUCCGUAACUGGUCUGAGAGGAUGAUCAGUCACACUGGAAGUGAGACACGGUCCAGACUCCUAGGGGAGGCAGCAGUGGGGAAUAUUGGACAAUGGGCGAAAGCCUGAUCCAGCCAUGCCGCGUGUGUGAAGAAGGUCUUCGGAUGGUAAAGCACUUUAAGUGGGGAGGAAGGGCAGUAAGUUAAUACCUUGCUGUUUUGACGUUACCAACAGAAUAAGCACCGGCUAACUUCGUG